GUGUACAUUCUUACAACAUAGUGUUAAUGCACCAGAUCCCAUUAGAACUUCCCAGUUAAGCCCGCUCAGGCUAGAGUAGUAUUGGGAUGGGUGAACACCCAAUAAGUCUUAGUGUUUUACAUU
rnacentral:rRNA from 1 species